rnacentral:rRNA from 1 species
UACGGAAGGCAGCAGUGGGGAAUAUUGCACAAUGGGCGCAAGCCUGAUGCAGCCAUGCCGCGUGUAUGAAGAAGGCCUUCGGGUUGUAAAGUACUUUCAGUCGUGAGGAAGGUGUUAAGGUUAAUAACCUUAGCAAUUGACGUUAGCGACAGAAGAAGCACCGGCUAACUCCGUGCCAGCAGCCGCGGUAAUACGGAGGGUGCGAGCGUUAAUCGGAAUUACUGGGCGUAAAGGGCACGCAGGCGGUUAAUUAAGUUGGAUGUGAAAUCCCCGGGCUUAACCUGGGAAUGGCAUUCAAGCUGGUUAGCUAGAGUCUUGUAGAGGGGGUAGAAUUCCAUGUGUAGCGGUGAAAUGCGUAGAGAUGUGGAGGAAUACCGGUGGCGAAGGCGGCCCCUGGACAAAGGACUGACGCUCAUGUGCGAAAGCGUGGGGAGCGAAACAGGGAUUAGAUACC